rnacentral:rRNA from 1 species
UGGGGAAUUUUGGACAAUGGGCGAAAGCCUGAUCCAGCAAUGCCGCGUGUGUGAAGAAGGCCUUCGGGUUGUAAAGCACUUUUGUCCGGAAAGAAAUCCUUGGCUCUAAUACAGUCGGGGGAUGACGGUACCGGAAGAAUAAGCACCGGCUAACUACGUGCCAGCAGCCGCGGUAAUACGUAGGGUGCAAGCGUUAAUCGGAAUUACUGGGCGUAAAGCGUGCGCAGGCGGUUUGCUAAGACCGAUGUGAAAAUUCCCCCGGGCUAAACCUGGGAACUGCAUUGGUGACUGGCAGGCUAGAGUAUGGCAGAGGGGGGUAGAAUUUCCACGUGUAGCAGUGAAAAUGCGUAGAGAUGUGGAGGAAUACCGAUGGCGAAGGCAGCCCCCGGCAAGUCAACUGACGCUCAUGCACGAAAAGCGUGGGGAGCAAAACAGGAUUAAUACCCUGGUAGUCCACGCCCUAAAACGAUGUC